UGGCUGGCAAGUGCCAUUGCAGGAACUGGAUGAGGGACCACCUCCCCAUCAAAAGGACAAGAAAAAAAGGUGUUGAGACCCCAUGAAGAACUCAGGCCCUGUCAAACACCUCUCCUGUUGCUUUCAGUAGCCGUAACAACGCUCCUUCUCCCUGUUCAGCACAUGGGUACACGGAAGCUGAGAGGGGGCUCCGUCUCAGACUUCCUCACCACUCUGGGUCCCAGCCAGAUUACCACUGCACCAAGGAGGAAGCCUUGGGAGUUCCUAGGCAUCCCCCUGUAA
rnacentral:lncRNA from 1 species